GACGAACGCUGGCGGCGUGCUUAACACAUGCAAGUCGAACGGAAAGGCCCUGCUUUUGUGGGGUGCUCGAGUGGCGAACGGGUGAGUAACACGUGAGUAACCUGCCCUUGACUUUGGGAUAACUUCAGGAAACUGGGGCUAAUAUCGGAUAGGAGCUCCUGCUGCAUGGUGGGGGUUGGAAAGUUUCGGCGGUUGGGGAUGGACUCGCAGCUUAUCAGCUUGUUGGUGGGGUAGUGGCUUACCAAGGCUUUGACGGGUAGCCGGCCUGAGAGGGUGACCGGCCACAUGGGGACUGAGAGACGGCCCAGACGCCUACGGGAGGCAGCAGUGGGGAAUAUUGCACAAUGGGCGGAAGCCUGAUGCAGCAACGCCGCGUGCGGGAUGACGGCCUUCGGGUUGUAAACCGCUUUCGCCUGUGACGAAGCGUGAGUGACGGUAAUGGGUAAAGAAGCACCGGCUAACUACGUG
rnacentral:rRNA from 1 species